rnacentral:lncRNA from 1 species
UGGGUUCGUGUUGUAUAUAGUUUUGUAAGGACUUAUCUGUCCUUUCGUUAUCUUUCUCUUUGAAUUAAAAGUUUUGAAUAUCACAUUGGCAUCUUGACCAUUUACAUGAUAAAAAUAACAUCUGAACCCUCACUCUUGAUUUUAAAGUGUUUGUUGAUCAAACCUUGACGUGGACACUUCUGUAUUUGUUGUAUCGUUUAUUUAAAGUUCAACUUGGUAAUAAUUAG